rnacentral:tRNA from 1 species
GGGCGCUUAGCUCAGCCGGUUAGAGCGCCGUCUUCACACGGCGGAGGUCGCUGGUUCGAUCCCAGCAGCGCCCA